rnacentral:rRNA from 1 species
UACGGGGGGGAGCAAGCGUUGUUCGGAUUUACUGGGCGUAAAGGGCGCGUAGGCGGCCACCGCAAGUCGACUGUGAAAUCUCCGGGCUUAACCCGGAAAGGUCAGCCGAUACUGCGGGGCUAGAGUGCAGAAGGGGCAACUGGAAUUCUCGGUGUAGCGGUGAAAUGCGUAGAUAUCGGGAGGAACACCUAUGGCGAAGGCAGCUCGCUGGGACGUUACUGACGCUGAGACGCGAAAGCGUGGGGAGCAAACAGG